UUUAGUGGUGAAAUGUUUCUCUGUGGCACUGUCUAGGUGUGCAACGAAGCAAUUGGUGAUCAGGGCAUAGGCUGCUGAAGGGACAGAAGAAUGCCUGUGAGAAGGAGGGGCUCCAUAUGGAUGUGAUGAGCACUGAGUGCACCCCCUGUUAGAUGAAUCUGUUUGACAUGUCUGUGCAAAUCAGUCAGCCAGGAGAAAAAUGAAACUCUGCCACUCCAGCUUGGAAAACAUGAUGCAUCUGCCAGUUCUUUUUCUCCAUUGUGUUACUGACAAUAUUGUGUCCUUAGACUGAUUCCCUCCACUAGUACUACAUCAAGCUGCAAUGACAUAAGAUCUCAGGCAAAACAGCAUUGGGCAAGGGCUGUUUUGUUUCAGAGGAAACUGAAAGAUCAUAUGAAGAACAGAUCACCAGACAAAUCAAAAUAAAUAGUUCAAAAUACAUUAAAUAUAAAGAAUGCAAGAAGUCUGCACAUCUGAAUGUGUUUAUUGCAGACCAACAAAGAAGAAGAGGGCAAUUAAUGUAUAAUGGAACAGCAGUGAAGGUAAAUGGAUUUGUUGAGAGGGUGAGGGUUUGAUCCAGCUUUGCUCUGCACACUGACAAGGAAAUGCCUAUUUCAGUCCAAAAUGAUGUUUAUGAGAAAUCCCAGUGUGGGUAUAACUAAGAUUGCAGCCUGCAAUGAGGAACUGGCG
rnacentral:lncRNA from 1 species